UACGGAGGGUGCGAGCGUUGUUCGGAAUUACUGGGCGUAAAGCGCGUGUAGGCGGCUUCUUAAGUCUGGUGUGAAAUCCCGGGGCUCACCCCCGGAAGUGCAUUGGAUACUGGGAAGCUAGAGUACCGGAGAGGAGGGUGGAAUUCCUGGUGUAGCGGUGAAAUGCGUAGAUAUCAGGAGGAACACCGGUGGCGAAGGCGGCCCUCUGGACGGAUACUGACGCUGAGACGCGAAAGCGUGGGGAGCAAACAGGAUUAGAUACCCGCGUA
rnacentral:rRNA from 1 species